GAUGAACGCUGGCGGCGUGCCUAAUACAUGCAAGUCGAGCGAACAGACGAGGAGCUUGCUCCUCUGACGUUAGCGGCUGACGGGUGAGUAACACGUGGAUAACCUACCUAUAAGACUGGGAUAACUUCGGGAAACCGGUGCUAAUACCGGAUAAUAUAUUGAACCGCAUGGUUCAAUAGUGAAAGACGGUUUUGCUGUCACUUUUAGAUGGACCCGGGCUGCAUUAGCUAGUUGGUAAGGUAACGGCUUACCAAGGCAACGAUGCGUACCCGACCGGAGGGGGGGACAGGCACACCUGGACUGGGGCACCGGUCCAGACCCCUAGGGAAGGAAGAGGGAGGAAUAUUGCAGAAAGGGGCGAAGGCCGGACGAGGCAACGCGGGUGGAGGGAGGAAGGCCUCCGGAUCGUAAAACGUUGUGUUGAGGGAAAAACAAAUGUGUAAGUAACCAUGCUGGUCUGGACGGAACCAAAGAAGAAAGCCACGCCAACCUACGG
rnacentral:rRNA from 1 species